GUAUGAUUCCAAUGUGUAGACAAGUUUGGGGACUAUAGAUUAAUGGCUUUCUAUUCCUUCCAUAGUGUCUCAGCUACUUCAGCAUGUGGUUCUGAAUCUUGGCUGCACAUUAGAAUCACCUAAGAAGCUUCUAAACAAUACUGCUUCUUGGGCCCUGUUCUGCAUAAGGUCUGAAUAUUUCUAACAUGCAAACAGCAUGAAGAGCCCCGUUCUAGCAGGGUUGUUGUCCUGGUAGAUCUUGUGAUCGGAGUGACUCCAGUGCCAUCCCCUCAAUGUUCCUCUCAAAUACUUUCUCCUCAUGUUUUUGAAAAUUCCAGUCCUUUCUCUUGCAAGCCUAAUAUGGAGAUGAGUGAUGUGAUACUGAUAAGUUUUUGGUCUGUGUUGCUUUCAGUAUGGGAUUGUGCUGGAUGCGGGUUCUUCUCACACAAGUUUAUACAUCUAUAAGUGGCCAGCAGAAAAGGAGAAUGACACAGGGGUGGUGCAUCAAGUAGAAGAAUGCAGGGUUAAAGGUCCUGGAAUCUCAAAAUUUGUUCAGAAAGUAAAUGAAAUAGGCAUUUACCUGACUGAUUGCAUGGAAAG
rnacentral:sRNA from 1 species